rnacentral:rRNA from 1 species
UACGUAGGGGGCAAGCGUUGUCCGGAAUCAUUGGGCGUAAAGCGCGCGUAGGCGGCCCGGUAAGUCCGCUCUGAAAGUCCAGGGCUCAACCCUGGAAAGCGGGUGGAUACUGCCGGGCUAGAAUCCGGAAGAGGCGAGUGGAAUUCCUGGUGUAGCGGUGGAAUGCGCAGAUAUCAGGAGGAACACCGGUGGCGAAGGCGGAUCUCUGGGCCAUAACUGACGCUGGAGGAGCGAAAGCAUGGGGAGCGAACAGGA